rnacentral:rRNA from 1 species
GUGUCAGCCGCCGCGGUAAUACGGAGGAUGCAAGCGUUAUCCGGAAUGAUUGGGCGUAAAGCGUCCGCAGGUGGCGAUGUAAGUCUGCUGUUAAAGAGUGAGGCUUAACCUCAUAAAAGCAGUGGAAACUACAUGGCUAGAGUGCGUUCGGGGCAGAGGGAAUUCCUGGUGUAGCGGUGAAAUGCGUAGAGAUCAGGAAGAACACCGGUGGCGAAGGCGCUCUGCUAGGCCGCAACUGACACUGAGGGACGAAAGCUAGGGGAGCGAAUGGGAUUAGAAACCCGUGUAGUCC